rnacentral:sRNA from 1 species
UCCCAUUCCCAAUCCUUAAUGCCCAAUCUCCAAUCAUCAACUAGAAAGGGAAAGUCAAAAAAAGAAAAUGGAUACGACGGUACGUUGAGACCUCCAUUUAUAGUACCAAAACACCGACGAAAUGUCUGUAUAUGAUAUCGACGUCGACAUAAAUGGCCCCCCCGGUACAUGCUGUGGAUGAGCGGCAUUCAGUAGAACGUAUGUGUAUGGUUAUCAGUCUUCGGCGUCUUCGUAGAUGCUCUUACCGCAGGUAUCGUCAAACCUCAGGCAUCUGAUCAACCUCCGGACUUUGCAGCGGCAACCCAUCUUUUUCCGCCAUACUCCCAUUCGCAAUCGCAACUGCAAUUCCGUUUACAAUCACCCCCGCACUCCCAUUCGCACUCGCCACCAAACUCUCGACCCUAAGAAACACUAGUGUAUUUUUCCUAGAGCGCAUUUGACAGGGAUCCCAACGGUCGCGUCAGACUGGGAGAGGCCAGUCGAGAGAAGUACGGUCCAUCGAUUGGCGACCAAGACGACAGUGUACGGCACGACUUGGACUGUGUAGAUGUCCCCAGCCCAUCCUGAAAUGUUCAUUAUGCCUCGUUUCCUGUGCCGAAACUGCAUACAAAACCGAAGGCCACAUAAAAACCAGUUUGGACUGUCACCGACUAAUGCGACGUAUACAUACUAUUCACUCGACAUUUCAUUACACAACAAUAUCACGGACACUUCCAGCAAACAACGAAAAAAGGCCAGUCGUUAACUUCUACAAAUUACUUCUGCUUAGUAGAAGUUCCGGCCGCGCUGAAUGGAACCCACUUAAUCAACAUUUGCAGGGUUGUUGGUGGGAGCAGGAGCAGGGCUAAUAACCGCCCACGAAGUCGUUCCGAACGCGGACUCUAAGCUUGCCGCACUGAUGACACUGGGGUUUCAAUUCGUACGAGGUCGAAAUGGCCAAAAUGCUUACCAAUACUGAUGGCGGAGCGCUUGUCGACAUCAACCUUGUCAACGCGCUUGUCGACAUCGACUUUGUCUACGCCGGAGCGUCGGUCAACGUCAACCUUGUCAACGCGCUUGUCGACAUCAACUUUGUCUACGCCGGAGCGUCGGUCAACGUCAACCUUGUCAACGCGCUUGUCGACAUCAACCUUGUCAACGCGCUUGUCAACAUCGACCUUGUCGACACCGGAGCGUCGGUCAACGUCAACCUUGUCAACGCGUCUGUCAACAUCGACUUUGUCAACGCCGGAGCGCUUGUCGACAUCGACCUUGUCGACACCGGAGCGUCGGUCAACAUCAACCUUGUCAACGCGCUUGUCGACAUCAACUUUGUCUACGCCGGAGCGUCGGUCAACGUCAACCUUGUCAACGCGCUUGUCAACAUCGACCUUGUCGACACCGGAGCGUCGGUCAACGUCAACCUUGUCAACGCGUCUGUCAACAUCGACUUUGUCAACGCCGGAGCGCUUGUCGACAUCGACCUUGUCGACACCGGAGCGUCGGUCAACAUCAACCUUGUCAACGCCGGAGCGUCGGUCAACAUCGACCUUAUCGACCCUGUCGACUGUUCAGUGCGAUCGAAUAUCGCAUUAUGAGUUUGUCAAAGUGAUGUCGAAUAAUCAUGGAUGGCAACACCUCGUCGAGCAGGAGCAAUUUCGAGGGCAUUGGCGGACGCCACAAGGGAGGCAAGGAUUGAGAAAUAAACGAUGGAAGCGCGCAUUGUAGUACUGUGUAUGGAGAGGUUUUCAGAGUUGUUCGAGUUCGAGUUUUUCGUUAACUCUUAUAUACCUUGCAGGCAGGAGAUAAGACCACCGGGUACAUUGCGCACCGUCUCGAUCAGCAUUCUAACGGCUGGUGGGAAGACCGGAUCUCAAGUUCUGGACCACCAUCCCACCUAUCCUCGACCAACCUUCCAUUGAGUUCGAAGAAGAACAAUUCGCGAGACAACUUGUUCUGUCGGACCUAGAUCCACAUGGAAUGAACGUCAGUGAUGGAAGCAAGAUGCCCGUCUACUUUGAAAGUCAGACUGGCCUUGCAAGGACAAAAAAAGACUAUUAGGAGAGUGGAAACUGUAGGGAUUGUUUGUCAGAUGAUCUUUUUUUGGCAUAACAGCUGUUGCACUCCGAGGCCGCCGAGUGCUUCAAAGCACUGCAAUUGUUCUACCAACUCUAUACCCUUCCGCACGGGCUCGUCUUUACAGUUAACAUUCCAAUGUAUUAACAUCAAAGACGGGAUCUAGCGAAAUUCACCUCUGAUCAUUUGCGCAAGAACUUCAUCCGUGCAGUAUAUUUGCUGCUUCAUUGCCGGUUCUGAUGAAUUUUUCGCGGAUAUUCAUCACCUGCUGUGCGCCUCAAACUUAAUCGGUAACCAUUUCCGUGUCUCCGCGAAAACGUCAUGUAGAAUCAUGCAAGCUUGAAUAAGCCGG